CUCAACUAUUGGAUAUUUUUUAUUACAGGAGCUAAUUUGAUUUUGUGGUUUUUCUUUCUCUUUCCCCAGGAUUCUAUGCUCGUUAAUUCUUCUUGUUGCUGUGGCCAACAUGCAUGACAAAGCAAUUUAAGUAUGAUAGCAACCCAAGACUUUGGGGACACAAGGCAGAAAGGUACGGCUUAGAGUCGGGUGUUUGUGUCAAGUUGACAGAGAACAGGCUGUACUGAAAGGUACCCAGCCAGGGUGUGAUCCCAGCUCAGACAGCCAGGUGCUGUCCUCUGACAUGUAAGGAGCUUUCCUGCUAAUGGUCAUCAUCUUUGACCUUUACGGUGUUAUCCUUGGAUGCUAGAGUAACCCCUGGGCAGAAAGAGCCACAGGCGAGAGGAGAGGAACCCUCACCUCAACUGAACAUAGAUGCAAUGUCUGAGGAGUGGGGAAUUCCAAGAUGCCCCCUGCUCUCUGAGCUCCCCCAUGGGGAGGAACCCACCUUCUGAGCCAUCCCCCAGGAGCCCAGACUGGCUGCUUUCCCUGAACAACCUCCGGAGGACAGGUGGCCAAACUCGCCCCUCUUCGGUGGCCAUGACAAGCACUGCAGUGCCCCCCUUGGCACUGGGCCCCCUCUUCAUUUUGAGUCAAGAGUGUGGCAAUUCCAAGGAUGUGGCACCAAGUGACUGGGUGUUUGUGCAAAGAGCUCUCAAAUCCACUCGCCCCACUCCCUCAUUUCCUCUUAUGCAAACCACUUUCCUUGAAUGACUGCCUGGAUAUUAAGUGCUUAUAGCCACAAGUGGGGCAACUAUGUCACCCCCUUCCUUCCUUCCUGAGGCUCAGGGGCUGCCAUCUCAGACUGUACAAGCCAGCUGUCAAAGAGGACAAGAGUGGAGCAGUGUCUUCUGGACAUAGCAGGAAGCUGCUCUCAUGGCCUUGUGGCAGAUGUGGUUGCCUGUAUUAGACCUGCACAAGAGCAAGCCAGGCAACAUUCCAGCUUGGAGCAGGAAAGGCUCAAGAGCUGAAUGGAUAUUGGUGAUUGGUGAUUUCUGGGGAGGGAGAAUCAGGUUUUCUUAAGGGCGUGGCCCCCUCAUAGGUUGACUCAUGAACAGUACAGAUUGGACUAGAUGGUUUUUGGUUUGUUUGUGUUUUUUUUUUUUUUAAGCAUACAAAAUUGGAAGAGAGUGAGAGAAAAGUUAGGGGGAGGGAACAGAAGGACUAACAUGAUUAAAAUGCAUUGUAUCUACAGAAGGGUGAAUAUGAUCAA
rnacentral:sRNA from 1 species